ACCAGACUCCUACGGGAGGCAGCAGUGGGGAAUAUUGCACAAUGGGGGGAACCCUGAUGCAGCGACGCCGCGUGGGUGAAGAAGCGCCUCGGCGCGUAAAGCCCUGUCAGCAGGGAAGAAAAUGACGGUACCUGAAGAAGAAGCCCCGGCUAACUACGUGCCAGCAGCCGCGGUAAUACGUAGGGGGCAAGCGUUAUCCGGAUUUACUGGGUGUAAAGGGGGCGCAGACGGCGAUGCAAGCCAGGAGUGAAAGCCCGGGGCCCAACCCCGGGACUGCUCUUGGAACUGCGUGGCUGGAGUGCAGGAGGGGCAGGCGGAAUUCCUGGUGUAGCGGUGAAAUGCGUAGAUAUCAGGAGGAACACCGGUGGCGAAGGCGGCCUGCUGGGCUUUUACUGACGCUGAGGCACGAAGGCCAGGGGAGCGAAAGGGAUUAGAUACCCCCGUAA
rnacentral:rRNA from 1 species